GCUAAAGCACUCUGAAGGAGCAGAGGGCAGAGGGCCCUUUCACUAUUUCUACUGCUGAUCUACAAAAUCUUAGUUGGCAGGGAAAUGGAGGAAGAACUAAAGAUCUUUCCAUCCAACCAGCAAGACAGACAGUUCGAAGAACUCAGACUGGUUGACUUCUGUUGUGGCCAGGCAGCUUGGGCCAAAGGUUGAAAGCAGAACCGAGUGUAAACUCCAGUGGAAUAAAGAUUUCAUCUGUCUUGUCCCCCCUCUGUCCUCAGCAGUGAGACAGUGACUAAUCUAUGAUGGAAGAUAUCAGAAAAUCAGACCUACUCUGAAUGAUCCAGGACAUCAUCAUGAACAAUGGUUAUUAUAUUGGACUUUCAUCCAGAUCAACUGUAACACAAAUCAUUUGUGAUUGUUGAAUUUUUGGCUCUGCAUUUUAUGGCUUUUCUCUCUUCAUGUUUUCCAGGCUAUCACCUCUUUCUUUCUGUCAUCAAAGACCUAUCAUUCUCCUACUCUUUAUUUAUAAUUUUGAUGAAACUGAAUAGUUGAGCUUUGGAGAGAUUAAUAUGAAAUACAAGGCUAUGCCUGAUAAAUAAGGGACUGUCUUGGCUACAUAAGUAUUAAAACAUCCUUGGUGGCAUUUAUUUAACUUAAUUUAACAAUUUUUUCUGCCUCUAGUUUGUGGAGGACAAAUUAGGGGUAUUUUGGUUCAAGCAACAGAAACUAAGGUUGGUUAUCUAAAGAGAAAAUGAGACAUUUUUGAGCCCUGUGGGGGCACUCGUAGAAUGGAAAGGAUUGUAUAUUACCAAGGACCUAUAGUUUACACAAAGAAAUUAGGUUAAAAAUAGUUUAGUACUCUGAGAACUAUAAGACAUCAUAGAUAAAAGAAAUUGAAGAUGACACAAAUAAAUGGAAAGAUAUGCCAUGCUCAUGGAUGGAAGAAUUAAUAUUGUUAAAAUGUCUACACUACUCAAAACAUUCUACAGAUUCAGUGCAUUGCCUAUCAAAAUACCAAUGGAAUUCUUCAUAGAACUAGAGCAAAUCAUCCUGAAAUUUUUAUGGAACAAAAAAAUACCCUAAAUAGCCAAAGUGAUCUUGAGAAAGAACAAAGCUGGAGGUAUCACGGUCCUGGACUUCAAACUAUGCUACAAAGCUAUAGUAAUCAAAACAGUAUGGUACUGGCACAAAAAUAGACAUGUAGAUCAAUGGAGCUGAUUAGAGAGCCCAGAAAUAAACCUACCCAUGUAUGGUCAAUUAAUUUUGCAUAUUUGACAAAGUAGUCAAGAAUGUACAUGGGGUAAAGAAAGUCUUCAAUAAAAGGUGUUGGGAAAACUAGACAGCUAUAGGCAAAA